AGCCAAAUUUUGGAACCACUGUCUUACACCCUGGCCACUUUCCCCUUUCCCGUUGCCUCCCUUGGCGCGCCCUGAGCCAUUUGACUCCUGCUCUUCUCCAGAUCCCAAAGUUUGGCUUCCCAGGCUGUGCCAGGCCGGCUUGGCCCUGCCCACUGCUUUAAUCCCACCCUAGUUCUGGGAUUGUGAAGCCAAACAUUUCCUCCUUCACUCCUCCCCAAGUCCCUUCUUAGUGUAGGUGGUUUUACUUUUUGGGGGCGUUUCGGGUGAGGACCUUUGUCCGAGACUUCUGAAAAAACGAAAGAACUCCGAUCCUCCUCUGCCUGUAGAUGUGAUGGAUUACAUUAAUUGAUGUUUGGAUGUUGAACCACCCUUGUGUACCUGGGAUGAAUUCUACUUGGUCAAGGUCCUUCUAGCUGUGGCAUGUGGGACACCAUGUCAACGUGGCCUGAUGAGUGGUGCCAUGUCUCUGCCCAGGAUCCGAACCGGCAAAACCCUGGGCCACCACAGCGGAGUGUGCAAACUUAACCACUCAGCCACGGGGCUGGCGUCUAGUUCAAAAUAUUUUUAAAUUCCUCUUGAGAUUUUUUCUGUGACCUAUGUGUUAUUUAGAAGUUUAAUGUCUAUUUA
rnacentral:lncRNA from 1 species